rnacentral:antisense_RNA from 1 species
CCGAAACCAACCUGUCCUGACUAUGGCUCAUAGGAAAAGCCAAGUAAGACAGUUCCCGGGCCUGAUCCUGAAUCAGGGAAUCAUAUUUCCUAAUGCAGGACAGAAGAGGAAAGACACCAGUAUCACAUAGAUUCACAGCAGUUACUCAAUGAAUAAUUAGCAUCAUUUCUCAUCCUAAGUCUAGAUAGAACCUUUCAUGCCUUCUGUUUUAACCACCACCUGAUGCCUGAAUUUCUUCUAUGUUAUGAUACUGUGGCUGACUAUAUUUUGCAAUGAUGGCCAUCACAUAAACGCUCAUACCAUCAACUGAUGGGACCCAAAACAAGAGACCCUAAGUGAGAACCACCCAGCUGAGCCCAGUCAAACCAUAGAACCAUGAAGCAUAAUAAAGUGUUGUUUGAAGUCACU